GACGAACGCUGGCGGCGUGCCUAACGCAUGCAAGUCGAACGGAGAAUCAUUUAUGAUUCUUAGUGGCGAACGGGUGAGUAACGCGUAGACAACCUGCCUUCUAGAUGGGGACAACACCGGGAAAGUGGUGCUAAUACCGAAUGUUGUAACUUUGCUGCAUGGUAGAGUUACUAAAGGUGGCCUCUAUUUAUAAGCUAUCACUAGAAGAUGGGUCUGCGUCUGAUUAGCUAGUUGGUGAGGUAAUGGCUCACCAAGGCGACGAUCAGUAGCCGGUCUGAGAGGAUGAACGGCCACACUGGGACUGAGACACGGCCCAGACUCCUACGGGAGGCAGCAGUGGGGAAUCUUCCGCAAUGGACGAAAGUCUGACGGAGCAACGCCGCGUGAGUGAAGAAGGUUUUCGGAUCGUAAAGCUCUGUCUUCAGGGACGAACGUGCAGAUUGUAAAUAAUGAUUUGUAAUGACGGUACCUGAGGAGGAAGCCACGGCUAACUACGUGCCAGCCGCCGCAGUAACAC
rnacentral:rRNA from 1 species